rnacentral:sRNA from 1 species
GAUGAAGCGAGGAGGUGAAUAUGCAGAAGUCAUCAACACACCGGUUUUAUCAGCACUAUUUUUUAGCGACGCAGGGAGCGUCAUGGCUGGCCCGCCUGCUGGCAGGAGAGCGGCUGAAAAUGCUCGAAGAACUGAUGCAGUGGAACGUUACGGCUCCGACUUCUGAAUCUCAUUGAUUUGCCUUAAUCAUGUGUGACUGAGUAUUGGUGUAUAACAUCACCCGCCAGCAGAUAUUUUCUGCUGGCUUUUUUC